CCGCAGUCAAUUAAGCCGACCGGCCCUUGUCUCCAUCAGGGGUCGGUGUGCAAUGGCUGCGGACAGCAGUCCUCCCUGGUUGUGUAUGCUCCCCGUUCCCUGUACGGGGUGCUCUAAGGGACCUUGGAGACAUCC